rnacentral:rRNA from 1 species
GACGAACGCUGGCGGCGUGCUUAACACAUGCAAGUCGAACGGAAAGGCCUGCUUUCCCUUGUGGAUUGCGGGUACUCGAGUGGCGAACGGGUGAGUAACACGUGAGUGAUCUGCCCCCAACUUGGGUAUAAGCCUGGGAAACUGGGUCUAAUUCCCGAUAGGACUGCAGGGUGGUGCCUGUGGUGGAAAACGAUUUUCUAGUGGUUGGGGAUGAGCUCGCGGCCUAUCAGCUUGUUGGUGGGGUAAUGGCCUACCAAGGCGGCGACGGGUAGCCGGCCUGCGAGGGAGGGGGGGAAGGUGUGGGAGGAGAUACGCCCCGGGCUGCACCGGGGGGCGGAGGUGGGGGAUGUGGCACCAUGGGCGGAGGCCUGUCCACGCGCCGCGGCGGGGGGGAAGACGGCUUGGGGGAUGGGAGCGCCGUGGGGCGGGAGGGAAGCCACCGGCUUAGAAGGGUGGUGACGGUGGUGGGAGAAGAAGCACCGGCUAACUACGC